rnacentral:miRNA from 1 species
UGAGUCUCUCACCAGUCUUUCAC